UACGUAGGGGGCAAGCGUUGUCCGGAAUCAUUGGGCGUAAAGAGCGCGUAGGCGGCCCAGUAAGUCCGCUCUGAAAGUCAGAGGCUUAACCUCUGAAUGCGGGUGGAUACUGCUGGGCUAGAGUCCGGAAGAGGCGAGUGGGAUUCCUGGUGUAGCGGUGAAAUGCGCAGAUAUCAGGAGGAACACCGGUGGCGAAGGCGGUUCUCUGGGCAUUACCUGACGCUGAGGAGCGAAAGUGUGGGGAGCGAACAGG
rnacentral:rRNA from 1 species